AAGGAAMCACUGCAUGCCUUAGUAGCGGCGAGUGAAGCGGCAAAAGCUCAAAUUUGAAAUCUGGCACUUUCAGUGUCCGAGUUGUAAUUUGAAGAAGGUAUCUUUGGGUCUGGCUCUUGUCUAUGUUUCUUGGAACAGAACGUCACAGAGGGUGAGAAUCCCGUGCGAUGAGAUGACCCAGACCUAUGUAAAGUUCCUUCGAAGAGUCGAGUUGUUUGGGAAUGCAGCUCUAAGUGGGUGGUAAAUUCCAUCUAAAGCUAAAUAUUGGCGAGAGACCGAUAGCGAACAAGUACAGUGAUGGAAAGAUGAAAAGAACUUUGAAAAGAGAGUGAAAAAGUACGUGAAAUUGUUGAAAGGGAAGGGCUUGAGAUCAGACUUGGUAUUUUGUAUGUUACUCUUUCGGGGGUGGCCUCUACAGUUUACCGGGCCAGCAUCAGUUUGAGCGGUAGGAGAAUUGCAAAGAAAUGUGGCACUGCCUCGGUAGUGUGUUAUAGUCUUUGUCGAUACUGCCAGCCUAGACUGAGGACUGCGGCUUCGGCCUAGGAUGUUGGCAUAAUGAUCUUAAGUCGCCC
rnacentral:rRNA from 1 species